rnacentral:rRNA from 1 species
UACGUAGGGGGGCUAGCGUUGUCCGGAAUCAUUGGGCGUAAAGCGCGUGUAGGCGGUUCGGUAAGUCUGCUGUGAAAGUCGGGGGCUCAACCCUCGAAUGCCGGUGAAUACUGUCGGACUAGAGUGCGGAAGAGGCGAGUGGAAUUCCCUGGUGUAGCGGUGAAAUGCGCAGAUAUCAGGAGGAACACCAAUUGCGAAGGCAGCUCGCUGGGACGUUACUGACGCUGAGACGCGGAAAGCGUGGGGGAGCAAACAAGG